AAAUUAAUGAAACAGCAAGCUUUGUGGUUUUAAUCAUCCUAAUCUCUAAUGAAAAUGCAACAAUCCUAGAUGCAACAGUUCUAAAACAAACCUAAAUGCAUAUGCAAACUAUAUGAUCACUCUUUUUUUUUUUUUAAAGAUUUUUCUGAAAAAAUUUCAAAUAUUUAGGGUUUUAUAAUACACAUAGAUGAAUGCCAAUGACAUGCUAAAACUUCAAAAUAAGAAACAUAAAACACACAUCAAAUACUAUCCCAAACCCUCCCCCAAACUUAAAUUACAGAGUGCCUUGUGUAAUAAAAGAUUGAGAAGGGAU
rnacentral:lncRNA from 1 species